GAUUGCUUUCCCCUAUCUGGUUCAAGCAUUUAGUGAGAGCCAGAAAGAAGAAAGCCCCGAUAUAGUAGUUGUACUAUUAUCGAGGCUGCAAUUCUUAACUUAUCAUUUUGAAUUGCGCCUCCUUAUUUAUAAGGAGUCAAGGAAAAUGACCAAG
rnacentral:antisense_RNA from 21 species